ensembl:lncRNA
CUGUCUUACAACGGAGCAGUUUAAUUAUACAAAUCACUGUGAACAAAAACAAUAAAUAAAUACAAUGGGGACAAAACCCUUCGCACACCAGACAUAACGUGCACAAACUCUUACAAUGAACAAUACUGGACAAGGACAUGGGGGGGGGGAACAGAGGGUUAAAUACACAACAUGUAAUUGAUUGAAUUGAAACCAGGUGUGAGGGAAGACCAGACAAAACCAAUAGAAAAUCAAAAGGUGGAUCGGCGAUGGCCAGAAGGCCGGUGACGUCGAACGCCGCCCGAACUAGGAGAGGGACCGACUUCGGCUGAAGUCUUGACAGUGGUCCCGUAUACAACUGACGUACAACAUAUUUGGCACAACGGUUUUGGGAUGCCAGUUGUAUCAUACAAGAGUUUUUCUGCACACAAAUAAACUACACAAGCGUGUGGAGAAACCGCUCAGUGGAUCUGCAACAAACUCUUCAUUGCAUCACAAAAAUAAAUCAGAUCACAAACCAUUGUGUCCAAUGUGUUGUAGAUCAGUUGGCAGAACCUGAGUGUGAACGGGGCCAAAACUACAAAACACAAACCUAAGCUGUGACUGAGUGGAACAGACAGUGAAACUGAGACUCGGGGCUAACGGACGGCUGAUACCUCAUACUGGGCCAGGGAGAGGACCAAAUAUAGAUCAAAAAAAUGUGUUUCAGUUUCUCAAAGACGUGUUUGAACAUGGCAUGGUGGUUGUUGUUGUUGUUGUUGUUAUUAUUAUUAUUAUCUAUAUCUGUGUGUAAGGUUGUAAAAUUCAAGUAACUUUCAAUUAAAUUCCCAUGAUUUCCUGCUUGUUCCCCCCCUGAUUCCGGGAAUCUCCCAAACUGGAAAACCUGGGAAUUUUGGGAAAACGACUGGAAUUUUCCAAACUUUUCUGUGUGCUUCACUAUACUGCCCUGACCAGUUGUAAGACAGUGCAGUGAAUGUAUCCGGUGACUGAGUAGAAGUUGUUGCCGUGGUAACGAGCCAAGUCUUGAAAAAAAUAAAAUAAAUACAAAAUGGCUUCCAGAAGAGAACAGCAGCAACCGUUCCCUUCGGGUGCUCCAACCAGAGACACGCCCCUUUUCACCUCAGUCCAUCUGUCCAUCAACCCAUCCCUUUAAUCACUAAGUUGCAUCAGUAUAAUAUUUCUUGUUAUUUAAAAAAAAGAGAAACGGCAACAUUCAGUCUAAUUCAAUUUAAAGUUUGUAAAUUUUUUUUUUAAAAGGUACUAAUUUUAAUUUACACACUUAACAAGAUAAGAGCAGAGAGUGUUUUGUAGAUGCUGAGAAAGGAAUGUAUGUUUUUAAAUAACAUUCAUUCUUAUGUUUUCUUGUGGUUAUGUAAAGAUUUCUUAAUGUUCUGAGAACACGACUUUAAAUUAAAACCAUGAGGAAACCUGUAGAAAACGUUAUGCUGAAGUACUGAAAUUAAAUAUUUUAAUGUUCUCUGAACGUGACUAAGUAGAACCAUGAGGAAACCUGUAGGAAACGUUAUGCUGAAGUACUGAAAUUAAAUAUUUUAAUGUUCUCUGAACGUGACUAAGUAGAACCAUGAGGAAACCUGUAGAAAACGUUAUGCUGAAGUACUGAAAUUAAAUAUUUUAAUGUUCUCUGAACGUGACUAAGUAGAACCAUGAGGAAACCUGUAGGAAACGUUAUGCUGAAGUACUGAAAUUAAAUAUUUUAAUGUUCUCUGAACGUGACUAAGUAGAACCAUGAGGAAACCUGUAAAAACCUGUAGAAAAUAUUAUGCUUUGAAGAACUGACAAUCCCAAAAGAAGAACGUUGUUUCUUAACGUUCUCUGAACAAAUUUGAGAACAUUAAUUUAUAUCGAACCGUGAGGAAACGUCAUUGGAAAGUUGUAUGCAAUAUAACCCCAGGAACAAACACACUCUCACCAAGUAGUGCACUGUGUAGGGAACAGGGUUUUAUUGGUGACAUAGAUGUGAUGUCAUAGUGCACUGUGUAGGGAACAGGGUUCUAUUGGUGACAUAGAUGUGAUGUCAUAGUGCACUGUGUAGGGAACAGGGUUCUAUUGGUGACAUAGAUGUGAUGUCAUAGUGCUCUGUGUAGGGAACAGGGUUCUAUUGGUGACAUAGAUGUGAUGUCAUAGUGCAGGGAAGGUGUAGAGAACAGGGUUUUAUUGGUGACAUAGAUAUGAUGUCAUAGUGUUCUGUGUAGGGAACAGGGUUCUAUUGGUGACAUAGAUGUGAUGUCAUAGUGCAGGGAAGGUGUAGGGAACAGGGUUCUAUUGGUGACAGAUGUGAUGUCAUAGUGUUCUGUGUAGGGAACAGGGUUCUAUUGGUGACAUAGAUGUGAUGUCAUAGUGCUCUGUGUAGGGAACAGGGUUCUAUUGGUGACAUAGAUGUGAUGUCAUAGUGCUCUGUGUAGGGAACAGGGUUCUAUUGGUGACAUAGAUGUGAUGUCAUAGUGCUCUGUGUAGGGAACAGGGUUCUAUUGGUGACAUAGAUGUGAUGUCAUAGUGCAGGGAAGGUGUAGGGAACAGGGUUCUAUUGGUGACAUAGAUGUGAUGGCAUAGUGCAGGGAAGGUGUAGGGAACAGGGUUCUAUUGGUGACAUAGAUGUGAUGUCAUAGUGCAGGGAAGGUGUAGGGAACAGGGUUCUAUUGGUGACAUAGAUGUGAUGUCAUAGUGCAGGG